CUAUACCUGGAGCCCAUCAUCCCUUCUGCGGCUCUCUCUGUAGGUUCAAGAAUAUCGCUCUGUCAUAAAAACAGUGCUGGGUGUGGGUGCAAUUAUUAAUAAUAAUCUCCGGGGGCUUGCUGCAAUCCUUCUCCGGCCGUGAUUAGUGUCAUGCAGGCAGUGCAUUUGAUGACUGCCCACAAAGAGAGAGAUGUUCGGGGAUAUUUUCGGGGGGGAUUUCUCUCUGUCCCUCUCUCUCUGUGUGUGUGAGAGCGUUAUGUUAGUGAGGAUGUUGCUGUCUGGAAGGGUUUGGUGAUUCAUUAUUUGAGGAGGAAAAUAAAACGAAAAGGGACGUAUAAAGGGAAUCUGAAAAAAAAAAAAAAAUUGAAAAAAAAAAUCUUUUCAGAAGAUAGCAUGGUGGAAUUGAAAAGUCGACAGGGA
rnacentral:sRNA from 1 species